rnacentral:rRNA from 1 species
UACGAAGGGGGCUAGCGUUGCUCGGAAUUACUGGGCGUAAAGGGCGCGUAGGCGGAUAGUUUAGUCAGAGGUGAAAGCCCAGGGCUCAACCUUGGAAUUGCCUUUGAUACUGGCUAUCUUGAGUAUGGAAGAGGUAUGUGGAACUCCGAGUGUAGAGGUGAAAUUCGUAGAUAUUCGGAAGAACACCAGUGGCGAAGGCGACAUACUGGUCCAUUACUGACGCUGAGGCGCGAAAGCGGGGGGAGCAAACAGGAUUAGAUACCCUGGUAGUCCACGCUGUAAACGUUGGGAACUAGGUGUGGGGCCUGUCAUGGGUUCUGCGCCGGCGCUAACGCAUUAAGUUCCCCGCCUGGGGAGUACGGCCGCAAGGCUAAA